AGCAGUCACGCUGCCAAGCACAGAACAUGUACUGCAGCACUGGCAUGUCCAGGCAGAGACACUGACAAUCAAUGCAUACAUUAUAACUCCUGCUGAAUACUCUUAUAUAGGCCACCCAGAAGAUGACAGUGAUCCUGUACAUCUAAUGGGCCACAUGUCUUGUCAGCAGAAAACUGAAGCAGCACAGAAUAAAGUCUCCUAUCUGCUCUUCUCUUCAGUAGCCUCAGGCAGAAGUCCAAAGCAUUUCAGUUUAAGCAGUGACUUUAAAAAUAUGGUGUACAAGGAGAAGUGUGAGAUCAGCUUCCUCCUGCCAGAAUACCACAGGCUGGAUUUUGAGCGUGGGAUUGGAGUGGACAGAUUCACAUCUUGACUGAAGAUGCAGAAUUGGGUCACACACACAGAUGCUGCAAGGAGAUGAAAUCUGCCUGACUUAGCGGCAGCUCUUUCUCAAAUCCUGCUCUCUGCCAAUGCACCUGAGCACAGAGCAAUAGUCCUGCUUUGG